AACGAACGCUGGCGGCAGGCUUAACACAUGCAAGUCGAACGCAUCGCAAGAUGAGUGGCAGACGGGUGAGUAACGCGUGGGAACAUACCCUUCUCUACGGAAUAGCUCUGGGAAGCUGGAAUUAAUACCGUAUACGCCCUACGGGGGAAAGAUUUAUCGGGGAAGGAUUGGCCCGCGUUGGAUUAGCUAGUUGGUGGGGUAAAGGCCUACCAAGGCGACGAUCCAUAGCUGGUCUGAGAGGAUGAUCAGCCACAUUGGGACUGAGACACGGCCCAAACUCCUACGGGAGGCAGCAGUGGGGAAUAUUGGACAAUGGGCGCAAGCCUGAUCCAGCCAUGCCGCGUGAGUGAUGAAGGCCUUAGGGUUGUAAAGCUCUUUCACCGAUGAAGAUAAUGACGGUAGUCGGAGAAGAAGCCCCGGCUAACUUCGUGCCAGCCGCCGCAGUAAGAC
rnacentral:rRNA from 1 species